rnacentral:misc_RNA from 1 species
UCGAGUUAGGGUCCUCUGGGCCCGAUCUCCAACCCUGUGUUUAAUCACCACGUUGCUUUGGCGGGCCCGUCUCACGACCGCCGGUGGUUCUCGGACCUCUGGCCCGUGCCCGUCAAUGGCCCCCCUUAAUUCUUGACUAAAAUGUGAUGUCUGAGUUAUAAAAUUAAUAACUA